AAACUGAAUUCUAGCCAAAAGGCU
rnacentral:piRNA from 1 species